CCACCCUAGCUGGAAAGCUUCUCCCAUGUGCCAGGCUGGUUGGAUGCUCUCUCCAUGAGGUUUUGGGGUUCGAUUGGUUUUGUUUCCCACCUGGCUGUUAGCCAAAGCUCUCCCUGCCCAGACCUGGUGGCGUUUGUUUGCCUUUCCCUCCUCCUGCCCCCACCCCCGCAGCACCUGAGGCCAAUUGCAGUCUCCUCCCCCCCCCGGGUGUGGCCACUUUGCCCUCCCUGCUCCCUGCCCCAUAUAAGCAGAGCAGGAGGAGCCCAGCCCCAAGCUGGGCCCAUUGCGGGCCAAGGGAUCCUCCGCCGGCAUCCCAGGUUCUGCGGUGGAUGCAGACAUGGAGCAGGAGCAGAACUGGAGCUGGGAACGGAGCAGGAGCCUCGAAAGUUUUGUUCUAGGUUCUGCGGUGGAUGCAGACAUGGAGCAGGAGCAGAACUGGAGCUGGGAACGGAGCAGGAGCCUCGAAAGUUUUGUUCUAGGUUCUGCGGUGGAUGCAGACAUGGAGCAGGAGCAGACCUGGAGCUGGGAACGGAGCAGGAACCUCGAAAGUUUUGUUCUAGGUUCUGCGGUGGAUGCAGUCAUGGAGCAGGAGCAGAACUGGAGCUGGGAACGGAGCAGGAGCAGCAGCUGGGAAUGGAACUGGUAACGGAGCAGAAGCGGGCUGGCUGGAGGAGCACAGGGGCCGGAGCUGCAUUCAGCUGCCCGGGGGCAGGCAGCGCUGCCAGGACCCUGGCGCACACCCGCACAGGCUGUGCCGUGCCCGGGCAGGAGCUUUUGCAGCAGCUGCUCUCCGCUGCGGGUUCAGUGUCCUGCUGCAAGGAGGCUCUGCCUGCAGCUCAGAGCUGCCUUGCACCGUCUCAAGGGGCUCUCCAGGAAGGAGUCCCUCAGCCUGCUCUCAGCUCUCCUUCAGCUGCUGAAACGUAGCUCGAAGGUCUCCCUGGAGCCUUCUCCUCUCCAGGCUGAGCAGCCACAGCUCUCUCAGGCUGCCUUCAGAGCAGAGCUUCUCCCACCCUCUGCUCAUGUUUGUGGCCUGCUCUGGAAGCCCUCCAGCAGCUCCCUGUCUCCCUUGUGUUGGGGGUGCCCCAGAGCUGGCCACAGCAGUCCAGGCUGAGCUCUCCCCAAAGCAGAGGGGCAGAUGGUUCACAAGCACAGACCCCACAGGCUGCCCAACGACCUUCCCACACUGCAGCUACAGGUUUCAGUCAGAUCCUUUUAGUGUCAAAGCUGAGAGACUUGAGGGCUAAGGCACCAGCAGCACUGUGCUUCAAGCCAGAGAAACACCAAAUAAAAGGAGACCUCUCUUAAUUGCAGUUUAAUUGCCCAAGCCAAGCACUAAGACAUUGGACAUGCAGAUGAAUUGGGUGACUUGCAGAGCCUAAACAGCUUUAUGAGGCUGCUCCAACACAGUGCCCAGUUACAAACUGCUUCCCUGUGGAAGCAUUUUCACUUCCAGUGUUCUCCAAGCACCUGAUUUUUCACACAGACCCUUUCCUCUGUGGCCCUAAAGGUCUUCAUUAAUUAAAGGAAGAUUUUCUUUGCU